GACGUUUCGGUUACAGCAUUG
rnacentral:miRNA from 1 species